rnacentral:rRNA from 1 species
AGCAGCCGCGGUAAUUCCAGCCCCAAUAGCGUAUAUUAAAGUUGCUGCAGUUAAAAAGCUCGUAGUUGAAUUUCGGGACCAUCAUGUCGGUCGUGCCUCGGUACGUACUGGCAUUGUUGGUUUCUCCCUUCUGACGAACCAUGAUGUCGUUAAUUUGGUGUUAUGGGGAGUUAGGACUGUUACUUUGAAAAAAUUAGAGUGUUUAAAGCAGGCUUUAGCUUGAAUACAUUAGCAUGGAAUAAUGAAAUAGGACGUUCGAACCUAUUUUGUUGGUUUCUAGGAUCAACGUAAUGAUUAAUAGGGAUAGUUGGGGGCAUUAGUAUUCAAUUGUCAGAGGUGAAAUUCUUGGAUUUAUUGAAGACUAACUACUGCGAAAGCAUUUGCCAAGGAUGUUUCAUUAGUCAAGAACGAAAGUUAGGGGAUCGAAGACGAUCAGAUACCGUCGUAGUCUUGACCAUAAACUAUGCCGACUAGGGA